CUCAUUCAAACGCAAGAGGUCAAAGUCGUGCGCCUGGCCCCAGUCCUCUCUCCGAAGGCCGACUCCAACAUUGAUUUCGGUGGUAUGAGACCAUAAAUAAUAAAACCAACAAACCAACACAGAAGAAAGGAGACAAGCCUACCUUAGGUGGUGUCUGUGACAGUGAAGUUGGCGGCAGUUGGAAAAGAGGUACACUCGGUCACCAAGACUGUAUUGACCACCAGGGCACCAGAUAACGGUCUUACCCAGCCAGACCAACUCAGCAGCAGCGGCAGCUUUUCGUCCCACUGCACCUCCUCCAUCAGUGCUGCUGGAUA